UCGGGGUCCUGAAUCUGUGAAAGUCUGAGCUAGACUUAAGUAAAAUACACUGAGGCCUGUGCCUGGGCAACUGUGUUCAGUAAAAGCUAACUCUAGUUAAAUUCACUUUAGAAUACUUUGUAACUGUUUCCUGCUAUGAAGGAGAUUUAAAUGCAGAUGUGGAAAGAAUUCCAAAAUAUAGAUGACAUUCCUUUGGAAGAGAGGCUUCCAAUUUUCAUUUUGUACCUUUCCAAACGGACUGAAUUUUCUAAUCUUCCCCGUGGGUUACUUAGUAUGUCAACAGCGGUUAUUAAGAUAUAUGCCCAGGAGUGGGAUUGCUGUAUCAUACAAAAAUGAACUCAAAAUGACUGAAAGACUUAAAUAUAAGACAUGAAACUAUAAAACUCCUAGAAGAGAACAUAGGCAAAAAAUGCUCUGACAUAAUCAUAACGUUUUCUUAGAUCAGUCUCUCAAGACAAAAGAAAUAAAAGCAAAAAUAAAUAAAUGGGGCUUACUCGAACUUAUAAGCUCUUGCACAGCAAAGGAAACCAUGAACAAAAUGA